rnacentral:rRNA from 1 species
UACGGGGGGAGCAAGCGUUGUUCGGAUUUACUGGGCGUAAAGGGCGCGUAGGCGGCCAGCACAAGUCAGUUGUGAAAUCUCCGAGCUUAACUCGGAAAGGUCAACUGAUACUGUGCGGCUAGAGUGCGGAAGGGGCAACUGGAAUUCUUGGUGUAGCGGUGAAAUGCGUAGAUAUCAAGAGGAACACCUGCGGCGAAGGCGGGUUGCUGGGCCGACACUGACGCUGAUGAGCGAAAGCUAGGGGAGCAAACGGG